GCCAUUUUAAAAUCUGUGUUUCAACUUGAAAAAUCUGCGUACCAUCUGUGUUGCAUAUUUUCGAACCUAAUCUCUGAAAAUCUGAUAAAUUUUAAGAAAAUCUGCAAUUUUUAUGAAAUAUUCAUAAAAAUCUAGAAAUCUGUGAAUUUUGUUAAAAUCUAUGUUCUGUGACACAGAAUCUGUGUGGCAAAAUAGGUAAAAUAAGUUGUCGUUUUACAAAAAAAUCUGAAUAUGGUAACUCUGCUCUGUGAGCGAACGUGUAAAAGCAAGAAAUUGACAGAAAUUGAAAUUGUAUCAUUGUUUGCAUUUCAAACUUCUUAAAAUAUUCGAUCUGUUGUGACUAUAAUUUAGUCAAGCACCAUGGCGCUCCAGAUGAGGAAUUUUCGAAACUUUUUAUUCUAUAAAGGAGUUUCAAAUACGGACAAAAUAAGCAUCGCAAACCUCUGUUUCCAAGUAACCCUAACAAAUCUGGACCAUUGGCAAAUCUACCCGACUACAGCUAUUUAAACGGGAAGACAACACCAUUAGGGUCUCCGUCAUGCUUAAAGUACGAUCCGAUGAUGGCAGCAUCCGCACAAUUCCAAUAGUUUUCAAUAUUAUAUCUUCGACGUUAGUUUCAAUACCUGUUGCUUUACCCGUUAGCACAAUUCCAUCAGAGCAAAAAAACUCAGCUGCUCUAGCGGUAUCCGCGAGAGACACGUCGCUAGUUAUAGCAUGGGAGCUAUAAAAUUCGAUACAAUGUUUAUUACAUUGUGGAAGUCAUAGUGACUUAAUAUUACCUAUGUUUUUUCUUAAUAUCAGUGAUGAUUCCUAUGUGUUGAGCAUCUAUAAGUUUCCUGUACCUGAUAAUUUGACCAGCAUCUGCAUUGAUGGUUUCCGAACCUAUUACUACUGGAAAUAGUUAAUGAAACGAUAAAAUUACCCGCAAAUUCACGAAAACCAACCAAUUUCACAAAAAUGCGCAAGGGCGUAACUUCAUCAUUCACACAGGAAGCAUAAAAGUAAACAAAUCGAAAAAGGGCGAAACUCUUUUUAUUUUGAUUUAUUCAGUAGAUAUAGAAGUAAAGUUGUAAAAUUUGCAUACCUUUUAAAGAUAAACGAACAGAUCAUCAACUAAUCAAAAAUUGAUCUGAGAAUGUACGAUAAUUUCUAAAUACGAUUUGAAACCAAUAUCAAAACAUUCAUCGAUGUUUUUCUCCAUUCGCUGUCAAUGUUAGAUUCGCCGUUCUUUGAUA